UACGUAGGGUGCAAGCGUUGUCCGGAAUUAUUGGGCGUAAAGAGCUUGUAGGCGGUUUGUCGCGUCUGCUGUGAAAUUUCGGGGCUCAACCCCGAACUUGCAGUGGGUACGGGCAGACUAGAGUGUGGUAGGGGAGACUGGAAUUCCUGGUGUAGCGGUGAAAUGCGCAGAUAUCAGGAGGAACACCGAUGGCGAAGGCGGCAUUCUGGACCGAUAUUGACGCUGAGGAGCGAAAGCCAGGGGAGCAAACGGG
rnacentral:rRNA from 1 species